AUAAAACAGUGUUCUGCAGCCAAACAAAGUGGUCGGAUGAAAUGAGAACAAAUGGCGCAGUUGGAGAAAAAGGCUAUCAAAACUAAUAUAUGAUGUUAGAAACAAAGGCCGUUGUUCCCUUUACCUUGGGAAUAUGUAGUGACUGGAACGGAAUAUACAGGUGCUUUCGAGUGCAGGUAUUUAUUGAAUCCCUACUGGUGGUCAGACCCUGUUCUGGGAACCAGGGUUGCAAUAGUGAACACAACAUACUAAAUGCCCUGUCCUUAUAAAGCCUGUAUGGAAACAAGAAAGAACAACAAUGAACAAGAUACACAGGUGAAAUGCAAAGCAUUUUCUGUCAUGAUAAGAAAAAUAAGUAAAUAAGAGAAUGGGAGUAUGAAAUGUUGAUGGGAGAUUAAAAUUUUAGAUAGAAUGGUCUUAAGAAAAGGGUGAAUUUGCAAUCAAGACCCACAAGGAGAUGAAGAAUCUAGUUGCAUAUGUGUUUGUAGAGGGAGCAUUUUAAGCAGAAAAAAAAAAUGACAAGUGACUGAGGUAGGAGUGAGACAAGCAUAUCAGCUUAUAAGGGACACCAGUGAAGACCAAGCUGACUACACAGGGAUGAGGCCAGUGGGAGACAACUCAAUGAAGCAAAAGGAACAAAUCAUCUGUGACUUGGAGGACAUAACAAAUCCUUUAGCUUUUGCUCUGAGUAAAACAGGGAGCCAGUGAAAGUUCUGGGUAGAAGGGCAACGGUGUUAUAACAGCAUUAUAACCUUGUAACAGCAUUCUUUGGAGUCUAUGCCUGAAAUGACCACACUUAACCAAGAAUAGAUUUUUCCCUAAGAGUGUUUCCAAGAGACCAUCCUAAAUUUCAAACAAUAAACAUAAUGUUUAUGAAGCACCUAUCAGAAAUCAUGCUGGAAAUAUCCUGUAAAUAAAUCAUCUCUUUUGAUCUUCACAACAGUCCUACAAG
rnacentral:lncRNA from 1 species